rnacentral:pre_miRNA from 1 species
CAACUGGGCUGCCUUCUUCGGUGAGAAGGCAGCCCAGUGGGUCGCCUUCUCGCCGGAGAAGGCAGCCCACUGU